CACCCCCUCCUCCACCAUACAAAUACAUCUCCCCACCACCCCCCACACACUCUCCUCCACCAUACAAAUACAACUCCCCACCACCACCAUCACCCUCUCCUCCUCCCCCUUACAUCUACGAGUCCCCUCCACCUCCUGUGAAGUCACCACCACCACCGGUUUACAUUUAUGCAUCUCCCCCACCUCCAGUUCACUAUUAAGCAUAGACCGAUCAUGUUUUAAUAUAAACAGUGGAAUAAAGGAAGGCUCCCAAAGUGGGAAAUUGAGGCAUCAAGCUUCCAAUCCAAGUCCAUUCAAUAAGGGUCUGGCAGAAACUUCAAUGAUCUACAACAUCAGCAAUUCAGACCAGUGUGUUUCUACUUUGUUGGUGGCCAUCUUGCACAUGAUUUUACUAUAUUCUUCAAGUUGGGAACCAAGCAAGAUUAAAUGGGAAAGUGGGUAAUAUUGGAGGGUUUAAUUUAUCAGCAGGGUCUUGGAAUUAGCUUGGUUGUCACAGUUUCAUUUUUCAGUAUUCCCACUUGGGGUCUCUUAAUUUGUGAUUGUAUAGUGAGUGCUUUGGCCUUUUAAUUGUUUGAUUGGCUUCUAUUUAUUGCGUGGAGAAUAUCAUGUUUCUUGGCCCUUCCUGUGCUCUAGGCACUGAUGAGUAAUUUAGCAAUAAAGAAAGACAUUCAUGUUCAA